CGCCCGGCUGGGAGGACGCUGCGCAGCAGGGUCGCCAGAGUGCGCCUCUCACAGAAUCCUCCAGGUGCCAUCAGGCGGAGGGCGAGAUGGGAAACUUCAAGCUGGGCCUCAUGUAGGUCCCAACCGCCGCAGAUGGAGGCAGGAGCUCAGGCAGGGGCAGCAGCCCCAGAAGGCCUGCAGGGGGCAGAGGGCUGGUGCCCUUUGCAGACCCUGCCCGUCUUGGCUCCCUCCUCUCCAGGGUCCCAAGGUGUGGGGGAUCAGGGGUGCUGCCUGCCCACCACUGGGGCUGCAGCCCUAGCACCCCCUUCCUCCUCUGAUACAGAAAGCAGCUCGGCAGAGGGGUCCCACUUCUGUGGAGAGGGACAGAGCUGCUGUGGGGAGCCAGGCCUCUACAGUACGUCCAGGCUGCAGGUGGGGGAAUUAUCUCUCUCAGAGGUGUCUUAAUCUCAUCUCGUGGUGCAUUAUCCAAAGCAGUCCCUCCUUUGGCAAGGACAAUUUUAUCUGCAUCUUCCACCCCCGGUCCCCAGCUAUCCCUGUGCUGCUUGUGGCCUGGGCAGCAGUGGGCACCGAGCUGCCAGGGCCUGGUUCCACUUCCUCACCCACUGCAGGCUCCUUGCAGGCCGAGGGUGCCAACGGGACCAGGGAUCUGUGGAUGACUCUGGCAGUGCCAAAGGCGGCUUUCACCCACACCCCAGCCAUUCGUGUCCUCCUUGGGUGGUGACAGCCCGGCGGGCCCCAGCUGGGGAGCACUGAUGAUGCUUGGCUCACAUCUGGCAGCACCUGAGGCCUUACCUGCCACCUGCCAUUCUCAGGUGCGGGGUUAGAAGGGACACAGUUUCUGCUGAGCAAAUAAAUGCGUGUCCAAACCGA